AAUGUCGGCCGUAACUAUAACGGUCCUAAGGUAGCGAAAUUCCUUGUCGGGUAAGUUCCGACCUGCACGAAUGGUGUAACGAUCUGGGCACUGUCUCAGCCAUGAGCUCGGUGAAAUUGUAGUAUCGGUGAAGAUGCCGAUUACCCGCAACGGGACGGAAAGACCCCGUGAACCUUUACUAUAGCUUCACAGUGGACUUUGAAUUUAUUUGUGUAGGAUAGGUGGGAGACUUUGAAGUGUUGGCGCUAGCUGGCAUGGAGUCGCCCUUGAAAUACCACCCUGAUAACUUUGAGGUUCUAACUUAGACCCCUUACCGGGGUUGAGGACAUUGUGUGGUGGGUAGUUUGACUGGGGCGGUCUCCUCCCAAAG
rnacentral:rRNA from 1 species